rnacentral:rRNA from 1 species
UAGGGAAUCUUGGACAAUGGGCGAAAGCCUGAUCCAGCCAUGCCGCGUGAGUGAUGAAGGCCUUAGGGUUGUAAAGCUCUUUCGCCAGGGAAGAUAAUGACGGUACCUGGAUAAGAAGCCCCGGCUAACUUCGUGCCAGCAGCCGCGGUAAUACGAAGGGGGCUAGCGUUGUUCGGAAUUACUGGGCGUAAAGCGCACGUAGGCGGCUUUCCAAGUUGGAGGUGAAAUCCCCGGGCUUAACCCGGGAACUGCCUCCAAAACCGAAAGGCUAGAGUCCGAGAGAGGUGAGUGCAAUUUCCAGUGUCGAGGUGAAAUUCGUAGAUAUUGGAAACAACACCAGUGGCGAAGGCGGCUCACUGGCUCGGUACUGACGCUGAGGUGCGACAGCGUGGGGAGCAAAC